rnacentral:rRNA from 1 species
AUGGCCGCGGUAUUUUGACCGUGCGAAGGUAGCAUAAUCAUUAGUCUCUUAAUUAGAGGCUGGAAUGAACGGUUAAACGAGAAAAGUUCUGUCUCUUAUUAAAUUGUUGAAUUUUAUUUUUAAGUGAAAAAGCUUAAAUACCUCUAAGGACGAUAAGACCCUAUAGAGCUUUAUUCCUUAAGUAUUCAAUUUAUUGUAGAACAAAAAUCUUAUAUACUGAACGAAUUCUGUUGGGGCGACAGCAAGACACAACAAAACUCUUGUUUUUAUUACACAUUUAUUAAUGGAAAGUUGAUCCUUUAAGAAAGAUCAUAAUAACAAGUUACCUUAGGGAUAACAGCGUAAUCCUCUCCGAGAGUUCUCAUCGACGAGAGGGUUUGCGACCUCGAUGUUGGAUUAAGAGUUCACCCAGGUGUAGCAGCU